GAACAAACAGCUUUAACAGGAACGGAAAAGUUCCCAGAAGAAAACAACUACAUAAUCAAACAUUUUAAUAAAUUAAAUUAUUAAUGCUAUCAUGGAUAAAUUUUGAAUCAGAUACCUAUUCAACACUGUGAAACUUGACACAAAAUAUAAAAGGCAUUGCAUAGUCUCAAUAUUCCAGUAGUCGUGAGCUACUGCAUAUCCUCAUUAUUCCAAUGGUUGUCACAAUGUGAUCAGAAGCUCAAGAGAAUUUUAUCAUCUCUCAAAAAAUAGAAGAGGACAAGCAAGUCGGGCAUUCCCAACCAAAUCUCUUUGUGUAACACCUUAAAAGCUGAACAGCUUAUAAAAAGGUGGUAAUGCAACCAUAUGGUGCAAAGCAAUAACUGAGAUUAUUUGCUAAAAAUCAUUGAAUGUUAAACUCAGGUGGCCAUCAUAGAUUUCUGUUGAAUUUGAGAAUUCAGAAAUCAACAAGAACACUAAAUGGAUUUUGCAAGAGUUCACCAGAGCAGUAACACACUUUGAAUAUCAGUAUAUAUCUGUUAGCUUUUCAUUAUCAUAUCAAAAGGUGCUAAUUACAAACUAUACAUUUGACAUUGACAAAACUGCCCAAUCCUGUCUUUUGUAAGGAAAAACAAAUGUGAAAAUAAUUGUGGGAAACCAUUAAGUUUCUUUCUAGCAUUCAUGAAAAGUAAUGUAUUGCAUGUACAAGAAACAACAUGCAUUUUCAUAUGAGCAAGAACAUAAAACUAACCUGUGGGUCCUUAACAUCAUGAU
rnacentral:misc_RNA from 1 species